rnacentral:rRNA from 1 species
AUUGAACGCUGGCGGCAGGCCUAACACAUGCAAGUCGAGCGGAUGAAGGGAGCUUGCUCCUGGAGUCAGGGGCGGACGGGUGAGUAAUGCCUAGGAAUCUGCCUGGUAGUGGGGGAUAACGUCCGGAAACGGGCGCUAAUACCGCAUACGUCCGGAGGGAGAAAGGGGGGGAUCUUCGGACCUCACGCUAUCAGAUGAGCCUAGGGCGGAUUAGCUAGUUGGUGGGGUAAAGGCCUACCAAGGCGACGAUCCGUAACUGGUCUGAGAGGAUGAUCAGUCACACUGGAACUGAGACACGGUCCAGACUCCUACGGGAGGCAGCAGUGGGGAAUAUUGGACAAUGGGCGAAAGCCUGAUCCAGCCAUGCCGCGUGUGUGAAGAAGGUCUUCGGAUUGUAAAGCACUUUAAGUUGGGAGGAAGGGCAGUAAGUUAAUACCUUGCUGUUUUGACGUUACCAACAGAAUAAGCACCGGCUAACUUCGUG